GGCCCCGUAGCUCAGCUGGAUAGAGCGUCCCCCUCCUAAGGGGAAGGUCGCCCGUUCGAAUCGGCCGGGGUCACCA
rnacentral:tRNA from 1 species